rnacentral:rRNA from 1 species
UACGAAGGGGGCUAGCGUUGCUCGGAAUCACUGGGCGUAAAGCGCACGUAGGCGGAUCUUUAAGUCAGGGGUGAAAUCCUGGAGCUCAACUCCAGAACUGCCUUUGAUACUGGGGAUCUCGAGUCCGGGAGAGGUGAGUGGAACUGCGAGUGUAGAGGUGAAAUUCGUAGAUAUUCGCAAGAACACCAGUGGCGAAGGCGGCUCACUGGCCCGUUACUGACGCUGAGGCACGAAAGCGUGGGGAGCAAACAGG